CCUCAUAAUCAAUAUUUGCAGCAAUUGCACCAGGAUGGCUGCAAUUAAUUUAUCACAACAAGUAUGAAGGAUCUGUUGAUGUUGCUACCUCAGUGUCUCUUCUGCAAACACCUGCUUUUCAAAUUAUAACUUCACCUGAUGAAAGGAGAAAAUGGACAU
rnacentral:lncRNA from 1 species